GAUGAACGCUGGCGGCGUGCCUAAUACAUGCAAGUCGAGCGAACGGACGAGAAGCUUGCUUCUCUGAUUUUAUCGGCGGACGGGUGAUUAACACGUGGAUAACCUACCUAUAAGACUGGGAUAACUUCGGGAAACCGGAGCUAAUACCGGAUAAUAUUUUGAACCGCAUGGUUCAAAAGUGAAAGACGGUCUUGCUGUCACUUAUAGAUGGAUCCGCGCUGCAUUAGCUAGUUGGUAAGGUAACGGCUUACCAAGGCAACGAUGCAUAGCCGACCUGAGAGGGUGAUCGGACACACUGGAACUGAGACACGGUAAAGACUCCUACGGGAGGCAGCAGUAGGGAAUCUUACGCGAUGGGGGAAAGGCGGACGGAGCAACGCCGCGUGAGUGAUGAAGGUCUUAGGAUCGGAAAACGAUGUUAUUAGGGAAGAACAAAUGUGUAAGUAACUGUGCACAUAUUGACGGUACCUAAUCAGAAAGCCACGGCUAACUACGUG
rnacentral:rRNA from 1 species